rnacentral:rRNA from 1 species
AAUAGAUACCCGGGUAGUCCACACCGUAAACGAUGAAUACUAGGUGUAGGGGUUGUCAUGACCUCUGUGCCGCCGCUAACGCAUUAAGUAUUCCGCCUGGGGAGUACGGUCGCAAGAUUAAAACUCAAAGGAAUUGACGGGGGCCCGCACAAGCAGCGGAGCAUGUGGUUUAAUUCGAAGCAACGCGAAGAACCUUACCUAGACUUGACAUCUCCUGAAUUACCCUUAAUCGGGGAAGCCCUUCGGGGCAGGAAGACAGGUGGUGCAUGGUUGUCGUCAGCUCGUGUCGUGAGAUGUUGGGUUAAGUCCCGCAACGAGCGCAACCCUUAUUGUUAGUUGCUACCAUUUAGUUGAGCACUCUAGCGAGACUGCCCGGGUUAACCGGGAGGAAGGUGGGGAUGACGUCAAAUCAUCAUGCCCCUUAUGUCUAGGGCUACACACGUGCUACAAUGGCUGGUACAGAGAGAUGCUAAACCGUGAGGUGGAGCCAAACUUUAAAACCAGUCUCAGUUCGGAUUGUAGGCUGAAACUCGCCUACA